GGCAACUUGCGAUAGUGGUUAUUCGGUAGGUCUAGAAUGGGAGAAUCCCAGUUAACCUAUGCCGUCAGGCUCGCAUGUUCGAAUCAUGCAGUUGUCG
rnacentral:tRNA from 2 species